CUUAAAAGUUAUGGCGGCAGGGAACAACAAGGAUUUCAUUCGGAGGCACACCGGGAGCCAUUGAAAGGAUAAUAAUGCUGCUGUUCGGACACAAAUGGAGGAGAAUGAGCCACAAAACCGAGACAGAGCAGCCGACUGGCAACAUAACCGAGUAAUGGCUUCUUCCUCAAGGAACGGCACUUCAGCCCAUAACUUGUUCGAUUGAUGACAUCCUGCUAUCAGCUUUCACCAGCAUCUUCACAGGUUAUUUUUGGGAAUCCUGCGGGUGAAAGAAAAAGCUGACAUGACAGAUGAUGUAGGAAUUGGCAAGCAGCUGGCACAGUGCAGACAGACCGAGCUCCAGCGUCUCACAUAACCCAGGUCUGCUCCGCUUGCUCACUGGGCCAGUCCAGGCGGCACAUGUUCCCCACCGUCCCGUUGCCCUUGGGGAAGGACUUGAGGACGCUGAAGACGGGGUAGGGCACCAUGACGAGCAGCGACACCACCCAGGUG